GGUACCGUUGUCAGUGAAAACAACAUGGCGACAGAUGCUGUGUGCAAACCUGGAUAUAUUGGAGAGAAAAAGAAAUUACUUCGUGAUGGUCAUGGUGUCUAUGUUUAUGAGAAUCCAUAUUUCCGAUAUGAAGGAACGUGGAAAAAUGGGAAGAAGCAUGGUCAUGGAAAGCUCCUGAUGCGAGAUGGUACAUUCUACGAGGGCCAGUUUAUUGAUGGGGAGAUAACUGGACAUGGGUAUAAGUAUUUUGCGUCGACAAAAGCCCGAUAUACUGGCCAGUUUUUAAAUGGUGAACUGGAAGGCUAUGGAAUCAUGACCUAUGCCGAUGGAACACAAUACGAAGGAGAGUGGCAUCAGAAUAGAAAACGUGGUAUGGGUGUGAUGAAGCUGUCUGAAGGAACCUAUAAGGGUUGUUUUCAGGGACAUUUGAGGCACGGUCAGGGAUCCCUGAUGUAUGAGAAUGUCUAUAAAACACUGAGAAACGGUGAUUACUACAAAGGCUAUUGGGUGAUGGACAAGAGGCAGGGUCACGGACGACUAGUAUGUGCGGAUGGAACCAUAUAUGAGGGUCAGUGGUACAAUGACUUGUUUCACGGCGAUGGUUUCAUGGAACACGCAUCGGGGAUUCUGUAUUCUGGACAGUGGGUGAAUGGUCUACCCGAGCGGAUGGCCGCGAAGAUUGUGAUAACGAACACCACAGAGAUCGACAUCAAACAGGGAGAGACGUUCUCCAUCACUGUGGAAGUGAGAGAUGGUGCAGAUGAACUCGUGGAAGAUCAAGGGAGAGAACUCCAUAUUAUAGCAGGUUAUAAAUAUUAUGCACCACUGGGGUCGAUGGAACCUGCAUUAUUCGACAUGAUAGAAGACAUGGAAGAUAAACCUAUUAGCACACCAUUUGGCUAUGAUAUUGUUGCAUACCCUCUGACUGACCAGCUGAUAGAAGAGGAGAAACCUGAAGAAGAGGCUGACAAAGAACAGCCAGAAAAGGGAGACAGCGAAGAAACGGUAGAUGGAACAGAUCUCACAGAUUCAUCAAAAGACCUGCAAGAGGGUGAAGGACAGAAGAACGAACAAACGGAAGAAGAGAAAGAAGAAGCUCAGAAGGAAGACACAGCAAAGAAGGAGGAAGCUGCAAAGAAGGAAGACACAGCAAAGAAGGAGGAAGCUGCAAAGAAGGAAGACACAGCAAAGAAAGAAGAAGCUGCAAAGAAGGAAGACACAGCAAAGAAGGAACCAAAGAGUGAUGCAAUGGAUGGAAAGAAGGAAGAAGAGAAGAAGGAUGGAGAGAAGGAUGCUGAUGGUAGCCGACCAGAUUCUCCCAGUGGGAGUGACGCAGCUUCCGAGUCAUGUCACAGUAAAGUCGAGUUGUUUGGCGACAUUGGCGACACGGCUGUCAGAGAUCCGGUUGUAUCCAAGCCACUGCCUCCCCCGGUCAACAACAAGAGAACAGGAAGUGGCAAGUGCUGCUGGGAAAACCUCCAUCUUGCUCCACCGCCCCCAAUGUACAGACCUUUCCUGGUGAUGGAACAAGUGGAGAAAAGUAAAUCAAAAACCAAAGUUUCAAAGGACAGAAGUGGAGAAAAAAUAGAUUCUAAGAGCACGGGUAAGGGUAAACAGAAGAAUAUAUUAACAGACGAAAUGUAUCCAAGGACGGGAGAGUAUGUGAUUAUGGUAAUGGAUGCAACGAAUCCUCCCUUCCUGAACCACACCCUAGAACCAGCCUUCAUGCUCGUCAAGCUGAGGAAACUGCCAGUGAAAAAAGUGAUCGUUAAGAAGGCCUCAAAACCAAAUCUUUCAGAAGAAAGUUUAAGUAAUCCUGGAAGUGAACCAGAAUGUAAUAACACUGAUAUCGAACAGGAGGUUUGAAAACAGUCAUAUUUGUUUACCUUUUUGUCUGCUAUGCUGUUAUGAGAAAUGUGGGAUACCUCAAGUUUCAUAAUGCAAGCAUCGAGACGUCUUUCUUCCGGAUCCGAUGGGUGAAUUUCUACCUCUACAUCUCACAAAACUGAUCUCACAAAGUACAUCUCACACAGUACAUCUCACAUACUGUACUGCACAUCUGUUUGAAAAUAACAUGGAAUAUGUGAAGGCUUCAAUUUCAAGACUUCAUUUUGGAUGAGUUAUCUUUCCUUGCCAUAAUGUGGCCAUAAAUUGCUGUGAAUGGUCUGCCGUGAAAUCUGCGUUUUAGCAGUCACUUGUAUGAGUAACAAAGAAACAUGGUUACUAGAUAUAAGUUAACUGUAGGUGUGAUUAUUAUGAGGGAUAUCUGUUAGAUACGGGUUAAUUAUACAUAAAGGAAUCACAAGAAUAUCUGCCAGAUAUACAUGUAGGGUAAUUGUAAGUAUAUAAUUAUAGGAUAUUAAACGAGCUUCCACUUCGUAUUAUGUUUAUGUCCUGAGUGAAAUAAUUUACAACUGUCACAAGCUUUAGUGAGUGACAAUGAAAAUUGUUUCAUGAAGGACAUAAACAUGAUAUGAAAUGAUAAUGAGUUUAAUAUCCUAUUUAUUACCCAUAAUCGAUCUUAAUUUAGAUCACUCAACUUGUUUCUGUACGGUUAUAGUGUGCCAAUUGAUGACGUAGUCAUGUGAUGUUGAAGUGUUACGUCCCACUUCGCAUUCUAGUGAGACAUAUCACUAAUAUAUACCAAGAUAUUUUUAACCAUAUGGGUAAUAAUAUGGGAUAUCUGCUAGAUAUGGGUUAAUUGUAGUGAAAUAAUAUGAAACAGGGUUUCCAGAAACCUAUAUGUUCACUUACUUUUCCAAAUUUAAUAUCCGUUUGUUAUAGCCUGUUCCAGUACAUUAUGUAAUUGUUUAAUUAAUUCUACACAGAACCCCAUGCCUAUCACCCUAGGAUCUCUGUGCCUUUAAUGCUUGGGAUUCCAUUAAUCCAGGGGUCAAUUUUCAAUUUUGAGGUCACCUCAAGUGCUGACAUUUAAUGAAAAAAAUUAGAGCACCAAGGCAAACAUUUCCUUCAAAAGAGAGGCGUUCUUGAGGCAUGUAUCACUUUGAUACAUACCAAGAUAUUUUAAAGUAUAUGGGUAAUAUUGAGAGUUUUUACAUAUUCUUUUUCUACUGGGUCUUACCAAGGUGGCGUGAAUAAAUUACUUGUAAGAAGCACACCAGUGUGAUUUUGGGGCAGGAUUUAGCUCAGUUGGUUGAGUGCUCGCAAGAGGUUAGCAAGUUUAUUAUGAAUACUGUUAACACUAGAAAUGGGAAUGCGAGUUAAUAUUUAAAAAAAAUGUCGGGUCAUAUUUUUAAUAAUUUAUACAAAAACAAAUAUGUUGCAUGUUUGAAAUCUAUUUUACAAAAUAUGUCUGUUGUAUGUUUGGAGUUUAUUUACAAAAUAUGUCUGAUGUACAUUUUUAAUUACUAUACAAAAUAUGUUGAUUACGUGUUUGGAAUAUUUUCUAUUGUACAUUGGGGAUUAUUUACAAAAUAAGUUUAUGCUACAUAUUUGAAAUAUUAUACAAAAAGUUUUUUAUUGUACCGGGUAUAUUUAGAAAUAUUUACAAAACAUCGUAUUGUGCUACUAAUAAAAAGGUGUGUUUCAAAAUACACUAACAAAAGCUCAACAAUGAAUUUGUUAAAAAAAUAUUUGUGGUAUUUUAACAAUCCUCUUGGAAUUUUUCAAACAUCUGUAAUCAGGAUAGACUUGUUACAAUUCAUCUGUCAUAAUUUCCUUUCAUAACUGUUCAUUGUGAUUUAGGUUUUCUGUAAGGAGUCAUACAUGUAGUUAAUGGCCAUUAAUUAUUUGAAGUGAUCUGUGAUAUAUUGCCAUGUUAUUUAUUACUUGUUAUAUAUUAAAAGUAAUGCCACAUA